UACGUAGGUGGCGAGCGUUGUCCGGAUUUACUGGGCGUAAAGGGAGCGUAGGCGGACUUUUAAGUGAGAUGUGAAAUACCCGGGCUCAACUUGGGUGCUGCAUUUCAAACUGGAAGUCUAGAGUGCAGGAGAGGAGAAUGGAAUUCCUAGUGUAGCGGUGAAAUGCGUAGAGAUUAGGAAGAACACCAGUGGCGAAGGCGAUUCUCUGGACUGUAACUGACGCUGAGGCUCGAAAGCGUGGGGAGCAAACAGGAUUAGAUACCCCCGUA
rnacentral:rRNA from 1 species